rnacentral:rRNA from 1 species
UACGUAGGGAGCAAGCGUUGUCCGGAAUCAUUGGGCGUAAAGAGCGUGUAGGCGGCCAGGUAGGUCCGGUGUGAAAACUCGAGGCUUAACCUCGAGAUGUCAUCGGAAACCAUCUGGCUAGAGUCCGGAAGAGGUGAGUGGAAUUUCCGGUGUAGCGGUGAAAUGCGUAGAUAUCGGAAGGAACACCUGUGGCGAAAGCGGCUCACUGGACCAUAACUGACGCUGAGGCGCGAAAGCUAGGGGAGCAAACAGG